CCCGCCCCCAACGGGUAGUCUGAGCCCGGGUCACUAUCCGGUGAUCGAGUCUGUGUAUAUAAGGACCCAUGGGAAGAGAGGUUCUUCAUCCUGCACUUGCAUCGUGAAAGAGCAUCAUCUCACAAUGAAGAUCAUUUCGUUGCUACUCUCCCUGUUCGUAGCCCUGAGUGGCCUGAUGGGUUCAGCUCGCGCCAUGCCCGACGCCCUCGCCCUGGCCGACCCUAGCCCCGUAGCUGACCCUGUGGCUGACCCCGGGUUCUACAAGCGCAAGCACUACUUUCCCCGUCGCCGCUAUUAUCCUCGCCCCCACUACCAUCACUGGUGAAGGCGCUGACGGCGAUCUUGACCGUGACCCUGGUUUUGUGAAUGGGCAUUAUAUUCAUUCUCCGAUUACGGAUUUUAUAACACGUCAUCACUGCAUCUUUGAAUGCACGAUAAUAAAUCUGAGAUAAUUA